rnacentral:rRNA from 1 species
GACGAACGCUGGCGGCGUGCUUAACACAUGCAAGUCGAACGGAAAGGCCCUGCUUUUGUGGGGUGCUCGAGUGGCGAACGGGUGCGUAACACGUGAGUAACCUGCCCUUGACUUUGGGAUAACUUCAGGAAACUGGGGCUAAUACCGGAUAGGAGCUCCUGCUCCAUGGUGGGGGUUGGAACGUUUCGGCGGUUGGGGAUGGACUCGCGGCUUAUCAGUUUGUUGGUGGGGUAGUGGCUUACCAAGGCUUUGACGGGUAGCCGGCCUGAGAGGGUGACCGGCCACAAUGGGACUGAGGUACGGCGCAGUGUCCUACAGGAGACAGCAGGGGGGAAUAUUGCACAAUGGGCGGAAGCCGGAGGCAGCAGCGCCGCGUGCGGGAUGACGUCCUUCGGGUUGAGAACCGCUUUCGCCUGUGACGAAGCGUGAGUGACGGUAAUGGAUAAAGAAGCACCGGCUAACUACGUG